CCCUUAGAGUUUGAUCCUGGCUCAGGACGAACGCUGGCGGCGUGCUUAACACAUGCAAGUGGAGCGACGAACCGGGGCUUGCCCCGGGGCAGAGCCGCGAACGGGUGAGUAACACGUGGGUUACCUGCCCCGAUGACCGGGACAACCCGAGGAAACUCGGGCUAAUACCGGAUGUGGUCUUCGGACGAAAGGAAGCUUCGGCCUCCGCAUCGGGAUGGGCCCGCGGCGCAUUAGCUUGUUGGUGGGGUAACGGCCUACCAAGGCGACGAUGCGUAGCUGGUCUGAGAGGACGAUCAGCCACACUGGGACUGAGACACGGCCCAGACUCCUACGGGAGGCAGCAGUGGGGAAUCUUGCGCAAUGCGCGAAAGCGUGACGCAGCAACGCCGCGUGGGGGAAGAAGGCCUUCGGGUUGUAAACCUCUUUCAGUUGGGACGAAGGUCCGCCGGUGAAUAGCCGGCCGGACUGACGGUACCUUCAGAAGAAGCCCCGGCUAACUACGUGCCAGCAGCCGCGGUAAUACGUAGGGGGGAAGCGUUGUCCGGAAUCAUUGGGCGUAAAGAGCGUGUAGGCGGCCCGGUAAGUCCGCUGUGAAAGUCCAGGGCUCAACCCUGGAAUGCCGGUGGAUACUGUCGGGCUCG
rnacentral:rRNA from 1 species